rnacentral:lncRNA from 1 species
AAAUACUCAAUUCAAAAUUGUUAGGCGAAAUGUAGCUUUCAUAGCACCGAGACUGGGACCAGACACCUGCAAAGGGCCAGUGGGCAUCUUACGGGGUCAGAUGAGGACUUCACAGGGACGGGCCUCGGACUUCUGAAGAGGAGGCACCAUGCAGCUGGUGCUAUUUGGGGAUAAUUCUAGCAAAUUUAAGAUUCACAAAGUUAUUUUGCGGGAGGCCAAGGUGGGCAGAUUGCCUGAGCUCAGGAGUUUGAGACCAGCCUGGCCAACAUGGUGAAACCCCAUCUCUACUGAAAUAGGAAAACAUUAGCCGGGCAUGGUGGUGCACGCCUGUAGUCCCAGCUAGCCUGGAGGCUGAGGUAGGAGAAUUGCUUAAACCCAGGAGGCAGAGGUUGCAGUGAGCCAAGAUAGAACCACUGCGUGGAGACAGAGU